rnacentral:rRNA from 1 species
AUGAUUGAACACUUGAGUGAUUAUAUGUCUAGAGUUAAAGGUGAACUUAAACUUAUUAGUAAACAUGCUUCUAUGGUUACCACUCAAGUAGAACAAGUACUUAAAGCUCAGAAUGAUUUGCUCAGUGAAUUAAAUAAUAAGAAAAAUGACAAUGCUGUUAGAGUUGUAACUAGAGGGGGUAAAAUUACUCAGGAACCUUUGUAUCCCGAGGGCCACCCUAAGAGAAUUGAGCAAGAUUCUCAGAGAACUAAUGUUGAUGCACCUAGUUCUUCUAAGAAGAAGAAAAAUAAAAAUGAUAGGACUUUGCAUGCUUCUAGUGAACCUGUUGUUGACAUACCUGAGAAUCCCAAUGAUAUUUCUAUUUCUGAUGCUGAAACACAAUCUGGUAAUGAACAUGAACCUAGUGAUAAUAUUAAUGAUGAUGUUCAUGUUGAUGCUCAACCUAGGAAUAACAAUGAUGUAGAGAUUGAACCUGCUGUUGAUCUUGAUAACCCACAAUCAAAGAAUCAACGAUAUGAUAAGAGAGACUUUGUUGCUAGGAAGCACGGUAAAGAAAGAGAACCAUGGGUUCAGAAACCCAUGCCUUUUUCUCCUAAACCAUCCAAGAAAAAGGAUGAUGAGGAAUUUGAGCGCUUUGCUGAAAUGAUUAGACCUAUCUUUUUGCGUAUGCGCUUGACUGAUAUGCUUAAAAUGAAUCCUUAUGCUAAGUACAUGAAAGAUAUUGUCACAAAUAAAAGAAAGAUACCGGAAGGAGCUCAAUUAUGA